AUGAUUUGAUUUUGCCCUAGUGCUUCAAAAUCACCCACAGAAAUUUAAGGAUCACAUGCAUAUACUCAUAAGCUCCAAGCUCCUGGCGCAUAUACCAAAUUAAUCAGGGGUGGGGGCCAUGGUGGGGAGGGUGCCCAUGUGGCCCAGGAGGAGGUGCAUGGGCAUGAGGACCAGGCGGUGGUGCAUGAGCAUGAGGACCAGGCGGUGGUGCUGCUGGACCAGGAGGUGAAGGAGAUGGAUGAGCAUGUGGUGGCGGAGAAGGUCCGGGAUGCGGUGGACCCGGGUGGUGGUGAGGGCCUGGGCCUCCUGGUCCUGGUGGUGGUGGAUUAGGCAUAUGUUCCUCAACUGAUGAAUUUGUGGAGGAGAUGAAUUAGUGACAAUGGGUUUAAACAAUUGAAACCACUGCUUUGAUUAAUAUAGGGGAUCAUAGAAAGAAAGAGCCCUUAUCUUAUCUUCAGCAAUCCAUCAGUCAAUGCCCAAUUUUACUUUCUGUUAGGCAACUAACAUUCUUCAAUUUGUGUAGGUGAGAGUGGAAAAUCCUGUAAUUUUAUUAAAAUGGCGAAUGAAAGUUCUACCCUGCUUACUAUUUACUGCGUGUGAUGAUGCAAAUUUAUAAAGCCAUCUAGAAGCUAGUGCUUAAUUUUCAAUGUGUGCAUAAUAUAUUUUUGGUCUAAGGAAAAAAAUUAUACAUUGAGAAAUAUGACAUGACAUGACUUUUUAGUGUACUGAAAAGAUAAAUUUACAUCUAGAUUUAGUCGAUCACCUUCUGACAUAUUAUUUUAUAAUAGUUUUUAAUUAUCAUUAACAUUUAUAGCAGUUAAAAACUAUCACUAAAAUGUAUGGUUGUAAUGUGUUGAGAAAAAAUCAUAUGUCGAUGUAUCACCGCUCUUUAUUAUAUAUAACCCCAAUUACCUUUGGCCCAAAUAUGUUUGGUUUUGACGAAAACGAAAUGAAUGAAUGGAGAAGAAUAGAAAAUAAUACUGAUAUUAAUGUAUUUAGAAACACAAAAGCAUUCAUCCAUGAAUCUUAACCCAAUCCACUGAAUGGCUCUCCUAGGGUUAGGGAGGCGGCCGCCAAACAAGGUUUUGUUUAUCCAAGGUUGAUCACCACGUUUUACUUCUCUCUUUUGACUAAACGCUGACCCUGUCUGGUGAACCAUAUUCUUUUCUGCGUCUAUUGCAUGCAACAGAGGUUUUUUCUGCUAUCAAGACUGUACGAAGGCCGAUCAUGGCGUUUAAUGGUGAUGUUCCGAUUCUGAACUGGGAAGAGGAGGAGAAUGUCGUUCUUGACCUAGGUGAGGCUGAGGUUGACCCGCAGCUCGGUGCGAAUGUCUGGCUCGUUGGGAAGGUGUUGUCCCCGAACAAGGUUACGACACCUAUUUUUAGAAGCGUCAUGCUUAGGCUCUGGGAGACAAGGAACGUGAAGGAGAUACGACAUGUUGGCCCUAAUCUUUUUGCUUUUGAGUUUGGCAAAACAAAAGACAGAGAUUUGUUUCUGCGAUCUGGUCCGUGGCUCUUUGAUCGUCACCUGGUGGUGCUGGAUGUUUUUGACAUCACCAAGGAUCCCAUGCAAGUGCCCUUGACCAAAGUUCCUCUCUGGGUACAGGUUCAUGGGCUCCCGUACACGAUGAGAUCAGAACGGAUAGCGAAGAGUUUGGGGGAAUCUUUCGCCGGCUACCUGGGUUGGGACAAAUAUGAGGCACACAGGUAUGGGUACUGCUUGCGGAUUAGAGCUUGGGUGGAUGUGACUACGCCGCUGCGGCGAGGUCAACUCGUAGCAACUAGAGGAGAAGCCCCCCUAAGGGUAACGUUUAAAUAUGAAAAGAUAGUCAAUAUUUGUUACCGUUGUGGGAAACUAGACCACGUUCUCCGAAACUGUGCGGUGGAGGGGAAUGGUGGUGCUCUCCGUUUUGGUGCUUGGAUGAGAGCUGAGGAUGAUCACCCUGUUGGAGGUUACCGUGGGGGAGAAAAUAAAGGAUACAUACAGCCCAAUGAGGAUGGAAAGGAACCCUAUGAGGAAGAUGGAGAUUAUGUUGAGGAGGAGGAACUGGAACCUGAAUCAGAUUUGGUGCAAAAUUGUGACGGAGGGAACAAAAAUUUGAACGAACACGAGGAGGGAGAAAACUGUGAGCUUGCUGCCACUUAUAGUAAGGAGGACACAGUUUACUUGCAAAAAAACACAUGUAGGUGGUGAAGGUAAACAAAAGGAGACCAAGCAGCACUUAGAUGGAAAAGUUUUUAAUUUUGGGGCCCAAAAAUCACGUGGCUUCCAGACCAAAAUGGGGCCAGUGGCAAGGGAUAUGAGAAGAGGCAGAAACAUGGGAAUUAAUAGAAGGGAAAGUGGUGAUGGAUUUGAAAAUCAUGGCUUACCAAGAAAGCGGGCAGGUGGACCAUCUUCUACAUUUGCUCAGCAGCGCACGGGGUUCUCUCCCCCACUGAAGAAGAUAAAUAAUUCUGAUGGAUUGGGGAUGGCGGGCACUGCUGAGCAGUCCCGCCCACCUCAAUGAGGAUUUUAGCUUGGAACUGUCGGGGGUUGGGGAGCAUCCUGGCAGUUCGAGCCCUUGGUAGGCUCAUUCAGUCUGAAGCUCCCGGCAUAGUGUUCGCGAUGGAGACAAAAUGGUACGAGUAUGAGGCACAACGUCAUAGAGGCUUGGGAGGCCUUCCAAAUGUCUUUCCGGUUCAAUGUGCAGGCCAAGGACAUUCGCGAGCAGGAGGUUUAUGUUUGUUUUGGGGUCCAGCAGUGGACGUUACCAUUAUUUCAAGUUCUUUGAAUCAUAUUUAUUUUACUGCUACUCAUGUGGAGGAGCAGAAGGUCAUGCAGAUUUUGGGGAUUUAUGGCUUCCCCGAUGAGAGGAGGAGAGUUGAUACUUGGGGUCUGGUUAAGAGACUGUUGGUUGACACUGCUAUCCCUGCGCUCUGUGUAGGGGAAUUCAAUGAUUGUCUUUCUCCGCAGGAUAAGUUGGGAGGAGACCCCCUUGAUCUUCAGCAUAUACAGAGGAUGGCUAAAGUCAGAACCGAAUGCAAUUUGCAGGAGGUGGAUUUUACAGGAUACAGGUAUACAUGGUCUAAUAAUAGGGCACCAGAUACAAUCGAGGAGAGGCUAGAUUAUGCGCUUACAAAUGACGCCUGGGAUGAAUUGUGGCCUUCAACGGUGGUUCACCAUUUACCCAGGUAUAAAUCUGAUCAUAAUCCUAUUUUACUAACUUGUGGUGUUCGCAGGAAUAGAGAAGAGAUAGGCCGAGCAAAAAUUUUCCGAUUUGAGGAGAUGUGGCUCCAAGAAGGACAAGAGUGUGCUGAGAUAGUGACAGAGACUUGGUGUAGACUGCGAAAUGACCUCCCCACCAAAAUAGCUGAGGUGGGAGGGGCCCUAAAGUGUUGGGGAAAAGACAAGUUUGGUGAUAUUCCCAGGAAGAUUUCUGAUCAGAAAGCCCUAUUGCAAGACUUGCAAAGAAAGGAUCAAACAACGGAGGUGCUGAGUGCCGCGUCAGUGGUUGAAAAAGAGCUUGAUAGUUUGCUGGAACAAGAGGAAAAGUGGUGGCGCCAACGUUCUAGAGCCACCUAGUUAAAGUGCGGAGAUAAGAAUACCAGUUUUUUCCAUAAAAAAGCAACUCAGCGGCGAAAGAGGAAUAUGAUAGAGAAAAUAGAGGAUGAUGGAGGAUGUGAAUAUGUCCAUGAUCGUGACAUUGCAAGAGUUUUAAAAAAUUAUUUUAUGAACUUGUUCUCUACUUCUAACCCUGACAGGAUUGAGGAGACCACAUCUUUGGUAGCAAACAGGCUGUCAGACUCUCAUUUGUAGGUUCUUGCUGAUCCUUUUACAAAGGAAGAUGUAGAAGAGGCCUUGUUCCAAAUGCAUCCGACCAAAGCUCCGGGAGCGGAUGGCUUCCCGGCGCUUUUCUACCAGCGGUUUUGGGAUGUCAUUGGGGACGAUGUAGCAGAGUUCUAUUUGCAGAUUUUGCAUGGGCUUGUGUCGCCAGGUAUUAUCAAUCAUACGAUGAUUGUUCUCAUUCCUAAGGUUAAGAAAGCUGUUAAUGCGACCCAGUUUAGGCCUAUUAGUUUGUGUAUUGUUCUGUUUAAUAUUGUGACUAAGGUGAUAGCAAAUAGGCUGAAAAAUAUUUUACCUGAUUUAAUUUGCGAAUCCCAAAGUGCAUUUGUACCAGGACGUAUGAUCACAGAUAAUGCUCUCAUUUCUUAUGAGUGUUUUCACUUUAUGAAGAAAAGAACUAAUGGCCGGAAUGGCACGAUGGCGCUGAAAUUGGAUAUGUCCAAAGCGUACGACCGGAUCGAAUGGUCUUUUUUGAGUUUUUUAAUGACAUCUAUGGGUUUUCCACAUAAUUGGGUGAAUUUAAUUAUGAGUUGUGUAUCAACGAUAUCUUUUUCCAUUAUGUUGAACGGUAACCCGUAGGAAAAUUUUGUCCCUAAUAGAGGUUUAAGACAAGGGGAUCCGCUUUCUCCUUAUCUUUUUAUCUUGUGUGGGGAGAUGUUUUCUGCUUUGAUUAAUAGAUCCAUUGCUUCAAAAGCACUUUCUGGAAUUAAAAUAGCGAGGAAUGCUCCUGUUAUUUCACAUUUGCUUUUUGCAGAUGAUAGUAUCCUCUUUGGUAGAGCACCAGUACAGGAGGCGGAAUGCCUAAAAGAGAUUUUAGUGACUUAUGAACGUGCUUCCGGGCAAGUAGUCAACCUUGACAAGUCAAUGCUCUCAGUGAGCCGAAACGUGCAGCAAACCAGUUUUGAUGAGCUUAAGCAUCUAUUGGGAGUAAAGGUCGUAGAGAGCUAUGACAAGUACUUGGGGCUACCAACAAUUAUUGGUAAGUCAAAACGACAAAUUUUCAAUUUUGUUAAGGCAAGAGUGUGGAAAAAGUUAAAAGGUUGGAAGGAAAAUUUUCUUUCACGAGCCGGGAGGGAAGUUUUAAUUAAAUCAGUGGCGCAAGCCAUUCCCUCUUAUGUUAUGUCCUGUUUUCUUUUACCUGACGGCCUGUGUGCAGAUAUUAAUAGCAUGAUCUCCAACUUCUUUUGGGGAGGAGAUGUAUCUCAGAAGGGGAUGCAUUGGACAAAGUGGAACAAGUUGUGCAAAAACAAAUUGGAGGGUGGUCUUGGAUUCCGGGACUUCAAGGCUUUUAAUAUAGCUCUGGUGGCGAAAAAUUGGUGGAGAAUCUAUUCCAAUCCAGAAGCAUUAGUUGCUCAAGUUUUUAAAGGUGUUUAUUUCCAGAGUGGUGAUAUGUGGGGAGCAAAAAAAGGCUAUCGACCGAGCUAUGCAUGGUCAAGCAUUCAUAAAUCGGCUUGGGUUUUUCAGAGAGGUGGUUUAUGGCGUAUUGGUAAUGGUAAGAGAAUUAAUCUGUGGACAGACAAUUGGUUGCCCGGAGGGGCACCCACUCUUUUCCGGCAGGAUGUAGUCGAGGAGCUUAAUAUACAGGUGGUCAGUAAUUUACUUGAGCCAGACACUUCCAGAUGGCACUCAGAAUUAGUGGAGCAUAUCUUUCACCCAGGGACAGCUAGGCGCAUCAUGGGAGUGCCCCUUGCUACUCAAGCACGGGAUGAUUUUCUUUGCUGGCCUUUCACCAUGGAUGGGAGGUACUCUGUUAAGACUGGUUACCAUUUUGUUUGUACUGCUUGGGAGGGUGAUGUUGUAAGACCCAAGUUUUUAAGUUUAGAAUAAGUGAAUAAAAUCCUAUUCACGAUUAGGGUUGAUGUAUCGUUAAGGGAAAACCUGGACAAAAGUUUACUAAAUGAAAUAAAUUUAUGAAGGAGAAAGUUCAGGAAAAGUCUAAGGAGUGUAUCGAAGUCGAUAAAAGUUAUAGCACGACUAAUAUACGCUUAAACCUAGGGCAAAAACGCUAGUAAAUAGCUAAUUUACACUUUAAGACACGAUGGAAACUAAUUCCAAAAAUCUUCAGAGAAAUGUUAGAACUUCUCUUAUUCGUCUAUAGACAAGCAUUUCGAUACGAAACCCUGGAAUGUACGAACGUCAAAUUCCAAUACUCGGAAGUUUGCCGAAACCAAAACCCUGAUAGUUCAAGAAACCUAAAAUCAACGGACGAUGAAGACUUUUUCUAUUCGGAGCUUCAAAUGAAGAUUCCACACGCGUACACCCAUUUCUCUUGAUGUUUUCAAUCUUUCUUCAGAAGGAAGUUUUCUCUUCCGACAUCCACUGCAAAAAGUAACUUAUCGGGUAAAAUAGAUUUACACCGACUUUGCAUUAUGCACCUAAAAUCCAAGGAACCUCUUUUGAGUUUUGGAAUUCUGUCGCCAAAACCUAUCUUAGAAUUCACGGAGAAUGAAGCCGGAAAAAUCGGAAUCGCGAAACUUUCAUUUUCCCGCGUUUUUCCAUCCUCUAUAUAUAGCAAGAAAAUGAGAAAAAUGGCAAAACUUCACCAUUUUCUCUCCCAAAACCCGCGAGCUUCACCAAGAGGAGGAGGAGAAGAGAUUUUCGCCAUUUCUUGCUUGAUCGUUGAUUCAACAGUUGCUACUUGAAGGUAUCGAGGUAUAGUCGCUAAUCCUUACCUCUGAUCGUCGUUUCCGUAGCUUUUCACUAUGUCUUUCUGUGCUCUUAGUUUUGAGGUUUUUGCAAAACUAUCCAGAUAACUUCAUUUUUCUAUCUAAACAUCUUCCCUACGUGCCCAAGAGCAUGUUUAGCGAAUAAUAUUACGCCGAUUCUCGAAAAACUAUCGUCGAGUUUCAAUUCUGCUUCAAAUACCCAUUUUGGGACAAAGUUUCGUCCUUUGGGCUGAAAACUAUCGCCUUAGCUUAGUGCUAGUAGGAUUAGUCGUCAUAAACGUCGUUGGUGACGUCCCCAUCCAAUUUGCUUUUCGAAAUUUCAGUUUUGAAAUUCUGAGCUAAAAAUAUUGACCAAAAUACCCCUGCGACAGUUUUCGAUCCGAUUCCGAGUUUAGAUUAACCUUAGUUACGACUAAUAAUAACCUAGGAACCAAGUUUGAUCGAAGAAAAAUCGACACACACAAUUACCAUGUGUGGCCGUGAGCACCCUAGGAGGAGGAAGAAAAUUCUUUUUUCGAAAACUUGUUCUUUCGCGCUAGAUUAUCGUACCUCGGAGUAUAUGCUACUUCGAGUAACCCUAGUAUUUAUUGUUUGCUGAGUUUCUGACUCAUUGUGAUUGAUUUCUGUGGUUUUGCUCUAAAGGUUCUUUUGAGGAAUUUCCUGAAGAGCAAGGAGUUGAUUGUGUAGGAACGUUCGAAGAGAACCCUGGAGAAUCUACAGGUGAGGGCUUCUCACUGAAGUAUUAGUUAAUGCUUUAGGUGUCGACGUAUUCGACUUGAUUUACUGUUUAUGCACUUGUUUGUGUUUGAUUGGGAAAAGUUUUCUGAGGCUUCGACUGACAAUGUAGAUGAUUCAUCUACUGACUGUUUUUGAGAUUGAAUUACAUGGUACGUGCUAAAUGGUUAAUCUAGGAUGUGUGAUAUUUGCUUUAUAUGCUAAGUGCUACGUGGUUAUUCUAGGAGAUGUUGAUAUAUGUGACAUGCUUGUUGACUGUGCUGAUUUAUCUAUGUCAUUUCACAUAUGUCUGUGGUACUGAGGAGUGAGAAUAACGGGCAGGUCAUGCCGAUUUUAUUUUGAGAUUUUGGAGAAAGUUUGAUAGGACGAACGAAGAUUCGGGCCUUGUUAUGGUCUUCGUGGAUCGAGACACUCUCGGGGAGUUAAUUGGGAUUAUGGGACUUUGGAAACUCAUAAGAUUUGCGAUAAGACUAAUGGAAACUAUUUUAUAAGGAAAAUUCAUAAGACAUUAAACAACCUCUAAAUCUUCAAAUAAUGACAACAAACUCGAAAGAAAGCUUAGGAUUCAAAUCUUAGUUUUGGAAAAGAGGGAGUGUCGUCGGAUCCAAGUGUUGAGAAAAUUAAUAAGUUCUGAGUACGUUGAUACUCUUGUGCUCGAGUAGCAGUUGUGUUGUUGGGCUAUCUGAGAGAUAAGCCGAGGAAACAGGUAGUUUCCGAGUAUGUUGAUACUCUUUGCUCGUUGAGCCGUUUUGACCAUCGGAUGGAGAUGAGUCGGAUGAUUUGGAGAUCAUCAUGAGAGAAUGUGUCGUUGUAAAGGAUUGUCUUUUGUCGCAGAAUCGACUUUACCUUAGGGUAUGUUUUUAGAGACAAUAAGUUAGCCAGAACACGUGGCGACGUGUCGAGUGAGGUCGGAGACGUUGUUUGGCUAAUCAUUUUGCAUUCAUGCACCAUUAAUGAGGUAUUAACACGAGACGAACUUCGGACCUCGGUGGAUUCCAAAAUGGUCAUAAGACCCGGAUUUCCGCGUAAGAGCGCUAUUAGGCGACUCUUAGUAGCAGACCGAAAUGGCAGGCCUUCGGGUUUUAUGCUGAUCUGACUACCGUUGUUGUUGGAGUAAGAGGCACGCGGGCCGAAAUGGUCCCACCGUGGCUGGUGCUAGGGCUGAUCCGUUGAUGUCCAUCCCUUCCGGAAUGCAUUUGGUUAACUGGGUUAACCGGCAUUUGCAUUUCACGCAACAUGCAUACUGACUUAGUUGCUGAGUGUGUUUGAUACUUGUUAAUCCUAUUUGAUGCAUGCUAUUUGUUAUUACUGUCGUUUAUAUUCAUUGUGGAAUAUGCAACCUUAGGAUGCUAUCUUUAACUUAUAAGCCUAAGCGGCUGUCUCUUAUCUGUACCUAUUGGGAUUAUUAAUUACAUAAUUCUUUGGAGUUGACCCUCGCGUCUUCUGUGUGUGCUUUGGCGGACUACGCCCUUUGUCAGAUGUCUUUAGCGGAUUGGUUCACGAUGGUCCACCCUUCGGGGGGGACUAGAUAUGAGAUGAUAGAUCAGGACGACCCCGCUAGCCAUCGAGCGACGUACUCGGGGAGGAUCAUGGAGGAUCGCGUAGACAGCGGAGGACACUUGAUGGAAGGAGUGCUGAGGAAGUGCACUGUCAGUUUCAACUUGCCGCCCGGCAUGCACUGCGAACCAGGAGUAGGAGCACCACCACCACCGUCAUCUUCUGAUGAUGAGGACCCCUCAGAGGAGGAGCCUGUGGGAGUGACUUCUUCAGAGUCCAGCUCACCCACGGUUGCUAUUAUUGACGAUCAUGGUUCGGGCCCUAAGCCCGUGAGGCCAGCACCGGAGCGCAUCGCGGUUGCGAGAGGAGGACGGAUAGUGUUCGUAGACUUGGUCGUUCUGGAUUCAGAUUCGGACGACGAUCAUGCUAGCACAUAGUUUUGAGUGCUGGUGUGAGCUCCUCGAGAUAGGAUUAGUGUAGGAGUAGAGUCUUAGCUCUGACCGUCACUGUUUUCUUUGGGGACAGGGUAGUUUCCCGCCUAUAGCUUUUUGUGUGGUUCCUCUACUGGAAUCAUAGAGAGUUGGUUGGGCUAGGAGGUCUUGUUUUAGGCCGAUUGGGCUAACUUAUUCUCAUUUUUGAAGGUUUGUGUUGCGGACACUUAGCCUUUCCUGUCGGUUUGUACAUAUUGCCUACGGGCGUUACUUUUCUUACUUCCCGUCACUGGAGGUUUACUCGUGACGUGGUUUGCUACUUACAGCGGGGGUUGUAAUUAUUAUUGUAUAUUAGUUUUGUUACCUUUUGUUGUCUAGCUUUAUUUCUUUCAGUUUUAAUUCUAUUAUCGAAAAAAAAAAAUAUAUGCACGUUUUUCCGCUUUAAGUUUCUUUUUUGUUACUAAAGUGACGCCACCGAAAUCGGUGUGUUACAGAUGUGGCCUCUUCUUCAUCACAAACCUCUCUCUCAAAGCAACAAUGGCAGAAGUUUUGGGGCUCAAGUGCGUUGCCCAGGUGCAAAGAGAUGGCUUGGAGGCUUAUUCGUGGAUUCGUACCAGUGAAUUCAGAACUGAAGCGGAGACAUAUGGAAGUAGAUGAGCAGUGCGUGUGGUGCUGUCAAGAAAAUGAGACUUUGGAGCAUGUUUUCCUCUCUUGUACAGCUGCCAAAAUGUUAUGGUUUUGCUCUCCUUUAGCUUUGAGGACAAAACAGUUCACGGUUUGAUAGACUUAUGGGUGGCGGUGCUUCAUGAUGGGGAUGCAGAUUUUAUUGGGAUGGUCCAGACCUUAUGUUACGCUCUUUGGGAAGCUAGGAACAGGUGCGGGUUUGAUCACAAGUGUUUCUCUCCGUUGGAAGCGGUGCAGCGCUCGCAAAGGCUGCUGUCUCCCCCGUGAGUGGACACGCCAGCCCCACCCUCUCGCACGGUUCAGUACACAACGUGGAGAAGGCCAGGUCGAGGGGUGUUUAUGAUCAAUUUUGAUGCCACUUUUGUUGAGGGACAACCGUCGCUAUGGUAUGGUGGCGCGAAACUUUGAAAGGGAAAUUUUGGCCUCGGCGACGGCGUAUCCCGUGGCAUCUCUUUCCCCUCUCUUGGCGGAAGCGGGUUGUUUCCGAUGGGCUCUUCGGUUGGCUAUUGAGUUGGGUUUCCGGAGGGUUGAAUUCCAGACUGAUUGCUUACAACUUUUCAAUUGGUGGAAAUCUCGUAGGGAGGGUGUUUCGUUCCUAGCUACGACUGUUCGUGAAUGUCGUUUUUUAAUUUCUGGUUUUGAUGUUUUUACUUUAUCUUUUGUAAGACGUUCUGGUAACGCAGCUGCUGACUGUUUGGCUAGGAACGCCUCUACUUACGCUGAUAUGGUGUGGGUGGACGAAGUUCCGGAUUGUGUUUUCCAUGUGGUGGCUCAGGAUGUUUUGGCUUCUAUGCCUCCUGAUGCCUAAUUUUUAUAAAAUCACUUUCAAAAAAAAAAAAAUUCGUGCAUGUUUGGAUCAGGUUUAUAGAUAAAUUUGAUUUUCAUAAAAUUGAUUAUUUAUAGUAGAAAUCAGUUAAAAAUUAAGUGACUUAUAUUUUCUUUUACAUUGGAAAAAUAAAUUGCACCCUCUAGAGAUCGAUCUUUAGACCUUUUCUCCAAACCAUAUGUCCCCAUGUUUUUACCACUUGAGUCAUCAUUCGAGGACAAAGAGGUUUAUAUUUGAAUACAUUUAUGAAAAAGUGAUUCAUGUUGAUGAGGUAAAUCAUAAUCUCGCAAUUGAUUAUUUCAAUGUAAAAGUUAUUCUCUAGCAUCUACAAGAAUUAUUUUGAAUUUAAAAUUAAUUCUCCAAAAUAUCUCAUAAGCAUCAAACUUUUAUUUAUAAUUAAUCCUACACUACCAAUAUUGAUUAUGAGUUUCCAAAUAGAAAAUCAAACACACUCCUUGUUUGAUUAGGAAGAACCAUAAGGAAAAUAAAAAACAUACUUUUCUUUCCUUUAAUUUUAAAUGAAUGUGUUAGAUGAGAAUUUGUACGUGAAAAAUUGUCCAGAAUGUAAUUCAUUUUAGUUUUCCUAGUUUUGGUUUAUGACGAUGGGUGUUUGGUUUGUCAUUGGCCUUCGGAAGUUCCGACAAAGAGGGUUGAGUCCUGAAAUAAAGCAUUGAAGAAAAAGUAAAGAUGAAAUAUGUGGAAAAAAUAAUCACAUUUAACGUCGUAUCUUAUGGAUGAAAAUCUUUUGUCCACACUUGAUAUCUUAUUCUUUUUUUUUUGAAAUAGUAUGUUAUUCUUGAUCUCACUGAAAGAAAAUGUUUCGUGUUUAUUUCAUUCAAUCAUAAGAUCGAAUAUACAAGAGUAACACAUUACAAACAAGGAAGGUCAACUAGACUACUAUGACCAAAAUUAUUAUGUUACUGACUACUAAUAUUAAAGGUACACAAAGAUCCUAAAAUUAUUUACAAAAUUAUUCUAUCAUUCACCAAUGGAAUUAUAUUUAGUAGAUCACAUGAGUAUGAUACUUAUAAAUCAUAAGGUGCUUGCUAUGGUACCUUAAGCCAGACUAAGGUGUGAUACCCAAAAUGAGUCGAUUUUAAUAAUAAAGACACAUGUACCGGUUAAAAUUUUGAUUGUGUUCUAUCGUAGUAAUGCAACGUUCCAUUCUUAGGGACGUGAGAUUUGAAAGUUGUGUUUUCUGAGCUUUGUGCAUCCACCAACCAUGGUCAUUUUACGCGCAUCUUCAUCACCAUUAUUCGUUUCCACCACUCGUACAUUUUUCAUCAAAAAAUGAAUUUCAUGAGAUAAAGUUAAUUGACAAGUAAAUUAAAAUCUAAGAGCAUCUCCAAUGGUAGGAACUUAUUUUGGGACUUAACUCAAUUUUUGUGGGCCCAAAUUGCCACAUAGGAUUUAAGACACCCAUAAGGUCUUCAUGCAUAUUUCACUCUAGUGGUUGGGAUAUUAUUUUACUUUUGACUAGACCCACAGUACCCAAUAUAUUUAUAUUAUUUAUUUCUCUCCCUAAUUUUCACUUUGGUUAUGGUAUUGAAGGAGAGAGAAAAAAAUAUUAUUUUAUUUAAGAUCCCACAUUUGAGAGUACCUGAGCUAAGGCACGGAUCUUAGCUUUUGCUAAGAUCUCAUGCCAUGUAGGAUAGCUCUAAUGGUGAGAUCUAAUAAGAUCCAGAUUUUAUUUUAAGGUCCCAAAAUAAGGACUCCAUUGGAGAUGCUCUAAUGAUGUAGUAUUUACCUUGAAUAACAUGAUAAUAAUUUAUAGAAUUAUUAAUGAGGUACCAUACCCAAAAAAAAUUUGAGGGUACCAUAGAAUUUACCAAAUUAUAAUCGUACAUGUGUGAAUAGGGCAGAGAAUUUCACCCAUAACAUUGGUGAAAAACAGUCCAUGGUGUAACGUACACAACAAUGUCUCUUUUCACGCAAAGGAAGUGGUGUUCUGAAGGCUAACAUUUUGUGUUUUGACUAGAUUGGCAAUUAGCCAAUAAUUAUGCUCAAUUUACCCACCACAUUCAAAACCUUAUGCAAAAGAAAACAAAAAUGACAAAAAAAAAAAAAAACACAUUUCAAGUGGAGCAUGAUAACAUCGCAUGUCUUACAAGUGAUAGGUUCAAGCCCACACUUAUUUCAUAUGAAAGGUUUUUCCUACCUUAAAUCAUGGCAACAUUCACUCACCCUAGAUUUUGUUAUUGACUUUGUAAGGAAAUUUAAUUUUAGUCAUUCUAAGAAAAACUUACGUUUAGUGACAGCCACUUUUAUAAUUAUUGACAAUUUUUUACCGUCACGAAGCGUUAUUUUUACUUAAAAAAAGACUAAAAUCAAAUCCUUAGAAAUUCAGAGAAUAAUUUAACCAUUAACCCUAAACCUAAAGUGUCUUGUUUUUUGGUAUAUUAAAUUGUUGUCAUAAUUUCGGUCGUGAAAGUCAAACGUUUUCGAAAAUGUAAUACCUAAAAAUUGAGCUUUCGACCUAGAUAUAAACAGUCAAUUUUUAACACUGCGAUCGGCACUCGAAAGUAUAGUGUGUUUGCUUUGCCUGAUGUGUAAGAAAGAAAGUUGAGAAAUAAUUGAAAUUGAAGAAAAGCUCCAAGUUGGUCAGCUUUCGAUUAUCAUCAUCGAAGAAUAAGCAACCAUCCACAUCUUGCUGCUGCUACUACCAAGCUAGCUAGCUCUUCUGUACCUCUCAUCUUCUUCUCUUAGACAUGGGUUCUUCUUCUAGUCGUCUCGGGUCUCGCUCUUCUCCUCCUCGGGUCAACAACAACCGCUUCAGACUAUCCUCUCUUCUCUGUGGAUCCUCCGCUUCCCGCUCUACAACUCCUCAGGUACCCGAUUUUCUUAAUACCCAUUUCGUUUUUACGCUUUUUCAUUUCGAAAGUUUGAUUUUUAUCAUCUGGGUUGGUCCAUUCGAUUUACUUUUGAAUUGGGUAGCUUUUGUUUUUGGGGAUGUAAGUAUAAAAUUGAUUUGCUAAAAGUCCAAUCAAUUGUGCUUGACUUAUAUAGAUAAAGCAAUUUUUGUGAUAGACUGAUAGUAUUUGGCUUUUUUGUUAGCUGAUUGAUUACAUCAUUUGAAAAAAAAAAUUGAUUGUGUGAGAAUAUUGUGAGCUUGGUUAUAUAAUUAUAGUUUGUAGGUUCUAUUGAUUAUCAUAGGAAUCUGAUAGUUUGCUAGUUGAUUAAUACGGUUUGACGCAUAUGAGCCUAACUAAUCUAUGAAAUUAUCUGCUGGUGCCUGUGGUAGUGUGGUAUAAUUCUUUAUCACAAAUUUGGAUUUAGCUUGUUUUAUUAUUUUAUUGUAUUCACUAGGUGAUUGAUUCAUGGAACGGUUCAAGUCUCUUCGGUCUUGAAAGAUUAAAAUUUCACUCGUUACUAGUUUUUUUAUUUUAACUUUUUUCUUCAUUGGCACUCCUUUACUUUCCAAUGAUUUGAUGAACUUCUUUAAGUUUUAGAGUCAUGUUGAUCCUAAUAAGUUUAUGCAUCUCAGCAUCUAUUCAAGGGUGAAUUUGGAAAAUCGUAUUUGUUCUUAACUUGUUGAGUAUUGUUUCAAGGAAAACUGAAUGCAUGAGUAUGUAUGACUUGAAAAUUUAUCCACAAGCCAUUUUAUCUGGUCUCACACAAGCGAUAAUUUGUGGAUGCUGGAUAGCCGUUAAAUAGAUACUGGGAGUGACUGAUACAGGAAAUUACAUUCUUACAUUGUGUUUUUAGAUGGAAGAACGUCCAUCUGAGCUUCAGGUUGGUUCGGCAAGAGAUUUUGAUGAUGAAAUUCAGAAAGCAGCCUCUGAGGAAUCGUCUUUAUCAUGUACAGAAGCUAGAACUAGCUAUUGUCCCCGUGCUGAAACUUCAACCUCAUCUGAUAUGGGAGUUGAGUUCUGUGGUGAUAAAACCGUUGAAGGUUCUUCCAGAAAUGUUGCAGCAAAUAGUCAGAGGAAGUGUUUGUCUGAACGUCAGGAGCUAGUUCCUCCUUAUCAGGUAAGCGCCGAUAAUAGUCGUCAUGAAUCAUAUAGUGAUAGUAGCAACACAGCUAGUACUUCAUCUGUUGAACAUCAGUCUUCAGAUCCAGUUUCUAUAAGUGUUUCUGCUAACAAGGAUGCAGUCAAUAAUGUUGAUGAUCCAGUGUUUAGUGGUAUCUGUCAAACCUCUCGUGACACGAUGUAUCCAAGGAGUUCAACCCCUCAAGAGCGUGGAAAUACCAGUUCUGAUGAAAUUUCUGUUGAGAAUCACACUGGUGCAUUCACAUCUAUCCAGAGUGCUCCUUCCAAUCCUGUUGCUCAAGUUUCCAAUAUAAUGGCAAUUUCUCAAGUGCCAGAAGAUGAACCUCUUCGCGAGGCAAUACCUUCAGGUUUAGGUUUUCUUGUGUCCAAUCGGGAAACAGGGCAGGGAGAUGAUAGCGUGAUUCAAGUUGACGUGGUCACAAUAUCUUCCAACAUUUUGUCAGCAAGCAAUGCAGAUGCCAAUGAUCAUGAUUCCAGAAGAAAUGGUAGAAGAUUAUUUUGGGAUGCUUUUUCACGACGUAGCUCUGGAAGGCUUGGUGAUUCUCCGACCAUUGUCUUCUCCAGUGGAGGUGCUGAUGAUACAGGAUCUCAAGAUCGAUGGCUCAUUGAUUUUAGCGGUGAUUUACCAAAUGAUAGGGUUGGGGAUGAUGCUGGAAAUCCUGGUCGUAGAACUCAUAGAUCGAGUGAACGAAUGCGGCACCCAAGAUCUGAGGUGAUUCUGAAUAUUUGGAGUAUAGAAUGCUUUAAAUUGUUUAUGUCACCUACUUGCAUUUAUUAAAUGGGCUUGUGAUCCCUUUCAUGUAACAUAAGCUGUUUACAUUUCUUUAUAUAGAUUUGGGAAAGGCUUCGUGGUGGCCUUGAUGAGAUUGGUCGGUUGAAUUCUUCAUGUCCAUUAGGACUCCAUGCUGAUGGUAUGUGCUCAUGCGAGUCUUUCCCAAUGGCUGAGGAAUCUAGCACUCGAGCAAGCAUUUCAAGAAUAGUCAUGCUGGCUGAGGCUCUGUUUGAGGUUUGAACCUUCUCUCCAGUGUCUUUUUUUUUUCUCCUAGAUUUAAUUAAAUUGAGUUUUCCAUCCAUCCUUAUCCCUUGUGUUUCCUGCUCUAUGAAUUUUAAUUUUAUCUCUAAAUUUCUGCGUUUGGUUUAAACAUGGUACUUGCUGAUUGGCAGUUCAAUCUGAUACCGUUGAUAGGGCAGUGUGCUUACUGCAUAAGAGCAUUUCAGGAUGCUCUCAUGCAUUUGAUUUUCUUCUUUUUGGCCUCUUUUCUACGAUAUCAUAACUUCCUGAUGAUUGAGAUUAUCUAAUUUUGAAUUUCAUAAUUAAAAGUUAGGUCUUUGACAAUCUAAUAUUGGACUGCUUCUAUUGUGCAGUUUCUCUGUAGUGAAAAACAGUUCUUUAUUCCUCUUGCAGUAGGUCUGCAGAUGUCUUGUAGCAUUUGGGUGUCAUCUGGUGUUUUAUUUUAUUUUAUUAGAAGUACAUCAUUUCAAUCUAGCUUUGCAUUGGCGACUUUUCAAAGGGGGGCGGGUUGCACCUCUCACUACUCGGUAAAUUAAGAAUGAAUAUAAUGAAAUGUCCAAUAUGAUCAAAUUAUUCAGAAUGUUAUUAUGUUCUGUAUUUUAAAGUAUGUUUGAGUUCUUGUCAUCAUGCCCACCACAGCUUGAUUGGGUAUAUCAUAAUACUCAGAGUCACAGGCUCACCCUUGUAAGGUGGUCUUCAUAUUCUGAACCAGAUCCCUCCUUUUCAAUUGUCUGCAGUACUUUUUUGUGUAAUAAUUUCAUUUCAUUCACUUAGAUGUAAAAUCUAGCUUGGUUUGUCUUUCAAAAAAAAAAUAGUACCUUAAAUGGAAGCCAGUUCCUGUAACUGAAGGCUCUUCAGGUCAUGAAUGGUGGUAGGCAUGUGUUAUUAUGCUCGGUACACAGAUGCUUUGAGCUUAAAGAACAGUGUUUUCCAUGAUGAAUCAUAAUUGAUUUGAACCUAUUAUUUUCUGGUUACCUGAGAUAUCCGUCUUUAGGUAUAAUUAUCUGGCCAAAAAUGGUUCUAUACUUUACUAUUGGAUUAUGAGAACUGAAAUGCCGAAAGCAAUUUACAUAGGGCAGCAUAUUUUUCCUCUGCAGGUUUUAGAUGAAAUCCAUCGGCAACCUGGAUCACUUUCCCUAUCCAUGGUCUCACUCCCCGCACCUGAAUCAAUUGUUGACUCCUUCCCUCUGAAGUCUCACAAAAAGGGCGAUGCAGCUAAUGGAGACAAUGAUGCUGAACAGUAAGCCUUUAGAUCCCUAUUAUCUUAAGCAAAUAUGUUUGGAUGAAUAAUAUAUGUGGUAGUAUGGCCAUAGUUAAGUGUGUGUUUGGAUACUAGUCGAGUGUAAUGUGAAUGAACUUUCAUGAGUUUCAUCUCAAUCCAAAAGAAAGUUCCAUUCACUUUUUGUUUCGAAGUGAGUACUAGCGUCCGUGUGCACAAGUGUCAACGUGUAAUCCAAGCAUAGCCUAACUAGUUUUUCACUUAUGUAGUCUGUCAGUGUGGUUAUGAUACUUUUUUUUUGUUGGUUUUGAAUGCUUGAAAAGUUCUUCCUUCUCCCACUAUUAUCAAAAUUUAAUAAAUGAAUUUUGUAGAUGUCACAUAUGCCUGGCUGAGUAUGAAGAAGGGGACCAAAUACGAGUUCUUCCUUGCAACCAUGAGUACCACAAGUUGUGUGUUGACAAGUGGCUUAAGGAAAUACAUGGGUAUUGUCACUGUAACCAAAAAUCGUUCAUUCUUUUCAUAUCUAUCAAUUUCCAUUACAUAAAUAACCAUUUUUUUCUGCUUCCCUCUUUUACAGUGUGUGCCCUCUUUGUCGUGGCAAUGUUUGUGGAGAGUUGUCUGCUACCUACUCAGUAGUGCAGUCUCAAUGAUAUUGUGUACAUAGAUGUAAAUAUUCAACUAUAGACUAAAGUACCAUCUGGGUCAUCUAAAGAUACACCUAACAUCAAUUUGAUCCUUCAAAUAUUUUUAUCAUCAAUACGGUUCGAAUUGAUGUCACAUCAAAUUGGAUGGAAGGAUUAUUUUGUCGUCGCUUUAAAUUUUCAAAGAACUAAUUGGAGAUCACAAUUAUUUGAAAGACUAAAUUGGUUUGAAGUGUAUUUUAGUCUAAAAUCAAUGUCACCCUUGGGCCUUGGCAAUCAUAUCUAUAAACCCUUAUAUUUAAACUGUGUUGGGAUGUUUUUUCAUCAACCAAAACAAGAGGGGAUUGACUACAAAGGAAACGGGGAAAAAAGAAAGAAAGAUAGAUUAGGAAUAUAGUUAAGAAAUGGUGCAAAAUCUUUGUUUCCUCCCCAUUUCACCCCAACAUAGAAAAUGCAUGUUUGUUUUUAAGUUUAAAUCCACAGUUUGGAGCUUUGAAAUUCUAAAUCCUGAAUUCUCAUGGCCCCCAACAUGAAAGGGACUUUAGCCUUUUGUUGGUGUUUAACUGAGAAACAAACAUGUAACAUGGUCUUGGGGGGGAAUUGAUUGGGAAUGGUUCCUCUCAAGUUCUAUUCGCCUCUUGUACAUUGUUAAUUUCCAAAUAAGAAAUUGUUUUUCUUCUCAUUAUUGCUUUUGUUCCCUUCAUUAUCUAUCAUCCAAGCACGGUUCAAGUACAGUAGUUAUAUCAUGAGCUUGUGCUCUAUGCAAGAAUCCAUUUUAUGAUGAAACUUGUUUGGAUCUAUAGUAUUUGUUCUUCAGACUCCCAUCUAGGAAACAUCAAACUAAAAUUUUUUUGAUUUGGCAAUGUUGCAAGGAAAAUAAAUUUCAACGAAAGGAAUAAAACAGACAAUCAAAUUAUGCAUUUAAAAUUGUAAGGUGAAAAAAAAUGGCUUAGCACUAGAAAUGCUUGAUAGUUGAUAGAACUGUGAAAAAGACUAAUACCAUCAAAGUAAGAUUGUCAAUGAAGAUCUAGACAGUACUUACAAGUCUCUUUGCUUGCCUUAACAAUAUAACAACAAAUACUUUACUGCAUAUGGAUUUCCUAGAGAAGCUGAUUCAGACUUCAGCUUAAUCUAGUUCCACUUGCUCUCUCCAUAACCAUGAGAAAAUGGAUUGAUGUUACUGCUGCGAGCUGAAUUAUCAUGAUGAACAAAAAGAUUUGGAUGAAUAUUUUCAUCAUCCUCAGAUGUUGUCCACCGCCUUGAGUUGCUGCCAUGUUUUUCUCUAGCAACAUUGCGCAUGUUCUCCAUCUCUCCUACAUGGUUUUUGAAUUCCUUCUUCACCACGUCCAGCACCACAUCACCGUAUCUGUCACACCAUGAUCUUCAACACACAAAAGAAACACAAGAAAGUACACAGUAAGUAACACUAAUCCUCUGAUCUCAGACUGUAUAAAGUGUCAAGUGAUCCAAAAUUGAAACAUGAAAAGUGGGGUUAUGUUGACUCACUUAGGAAAGUAAUUUUUCAAAUCAGCCUUGUCCACUGGAAUUCUAGUAGAAAUUGCUUCCAUCUGAUCAUUCCUGAUAUCACAACAAAUGCAGCCAAAAGUAAGUAACAUUUCUAAGCAAAGAACUAAGUGCGUGUUUGGAUACAUGGUGAGCUAAAAUCACUAUGGAUGGAAGUAAUUUCCCUUAGCUUUUGUGACUGUUCACCGUGAUCUUAGUUUUACAGCUAUUUUCCAUAGUGUAUCCAAACAUGCACUAACUAAUAUCAGUUUUCCAAAUGCAAGGAAAGUAAUUACGAGAAUUUAAGAUUUGGGUUUGUGCUGCUAAGUUCUGUCUGGAUUCUUGUCAGCUCCUUCUUUAUCUUGUCUCCCAAAACCUAUUCACAGUGAACAAGAAUUUUGUUUAACAUGUCCAAAAAUUAGCUCAAUUUCAAAAGGAAAUUAGAUUGAAAUAUAGAAAGAGAUGAUGGAUGAAGGAUCUAAAACCUUAUCUAUGAAGAAAUCAGAUGGAGAACCAUCAGAAUGUAACUUCUUCUUCAACAACUUGGUGUCUGGUCCCUCUCCAUGAACUCUUGCAAGAGACUGGGAGGAAGCUGAGUGUCCCCCACUAUCAGACCUCUCAUUCAGAGGCAAUGGAGCAGUCUCAUCAUCUGCCUCAUUUCUCUUCCAUCUCUUGAACCCAUCAAACCCCCAUUGCUUCUUCACUGGUUUCCCUGCUCUUUGCUCUGGCUCAGGACCACCACCACCACUUCCACCACCAACUCCCUCCCUCUGCUCCCUGUGAAAUAAAGUCCUAAAUGGCUUCCUCUUCAACUUCUCCGAGCCACCGGUUUCCUUCACAGCUUCCGGGGGCCCACUUUCCUCCAUGAGAAUUGUUGUACCUUCACUUUUAUUGCCAUUAGGCUCAGCAUUCCAAAAAGGGUUUUCACUGGAUUGCCUCAAUUGCAAAGAAGGUGAUUCAAAAGCACUCUUCUCCACCCCAUUUUUCCCAGGUUUGUGAGGAGAAACAAAGCCGAAAACCGAGGCUGCCCCUUUAAUCUGCUUCAAACCCGACCCCUGAUUCGAUUUUCCCUUACAAUUCAAAUUCUCCUUGUUCAUCUUCAAUCCCUUAUCAUCCUUCAAAUCAAUAACCGACCACUCUUCCUCCGAAAUCUCUCUAGGCCUCACUGCCCUCACACCAACGAUCACAUCCUUAGCCUCAAUCUGAGCACCUUGAACAGCCAAUCUCUGAAGCAAAGGUCUCUUAGAAGAAUGAUACUCUUCUUCAGAAACACACUUUGCAUACAGAAGCUCCUGCAGAAACAGAAGCUUGUCUCUGAGUAUAACAGGAUGCUCUUGUUCCGGAGGCGAAGCGAUGAGAGUCUCGAGCAAGUGGGUUCUGAAAGCUGAAACCUCAGUUUCAGCCACAAUGCCUUCUUCGUGAAGACCCAUCAAGUUCAAAAUCUGGUGGAAAGACUCCUGCUGCCAUUUGAGGUUGUCGGAUUGCAGCUUCGACAACCUUUGCUCUGCUGAGAGCAAUGAUCGUUUCUUGAAGCUGAAAGGGAGAAGGGUCUUGCAGAGUGAGGUGAUUGAGUCAUGGAGUGUUGAGUAGUAGGUUGGUGUGUAGUUUGAGUACACCAUUUUUUUCUGAAUCUUCGGAUUGUUGAAUUGGAUGUGUCUGUUAGAAUUUCUAGCUUAGAAAAGAACUCAACUCUUGGUGGUGUGUCUGUGUUGUUUGUUUUCCUGGUUUUGAAUUUUUGAGACGAUGCUCUCAAACGGUCACUUUGAUAUGGAAACUAGCCGUUGAAGACUGUGAAUGAAUAUUAUUUCAUUCAGGUAGCGCUUAUAACAACUAAAUUUUGAAAAAUAAAAGAGAAAAAUGAUGAUGCACCGACACCGUCAACCAAUCAGAUUUCAAUGAUGUGCCACGUCAAUUAAUGAAAUUAAAUAAAAAGAGAGAUUUUCUCACAUCCUUGAAAACUGAUUGGUUGACGGUGAAAAAAAUUUUACACUGCACUGUCAGUGUGUAAAGUUUAAGUGUUAUAAUCUAAGCCAUUGAUUUUGAUCUAAGGGUAGAAAAUCAAUCAUCUCACUCUCACAUAAGAAAUCUCUCUCUCACUAGAUACAUCCUCUAUAUAUAUAUAUAUAUAUAUAUAUAUUUAAAUUUCGCAUUUAAGUCAUAAUUUUACAUAUAAAAUGAAAGUUAAUAUGACUAAAUACUUUAUAUCAUAACUAAACUCUAAAUUAUUUGAUAUUAAUUUUCAUCUUAAACCAUUUCAAACCAAACAGUUAGCGUAGUAAUUCAGCAUAACGAAGGAGACGACAGUUCGAUUCUAAACUCUUAUGAAUGAAAAAAUAAAUGUGGAGAAAGAAUUAGUCUCACAACUAUGAACAAUUUAUUAUUGCACUAAAAAAGCUCCAUUCACAUGAAUUAAAUAAAAUAUAGAAAUAUUAAUAUGAUAAAUUAAAAUUAAUUACAUUUUUUUGUUUCUCAUUUUUUCUUAACAAUGGUUUCUCAUUUCUUAAAAUAUCUUCAACAUUUAAGUCAUGUUUGAUUGCAGUUUUUGAAAACACCAUUUAAAAAUUGUUUUUAGAGAUUAUUUUUUAAAGUGGUUUUUCAAAAAAAAAAAACUGUUUGAAUUAGAUAUUUUCCAACAUUAAAAAAAUUACAAUAUGAAAAAUAAAAACUGAAAUAGAAAACAUCUUUUAGUUGUUUUGGUAUUUUAGUUUUAAAAACUGAAAUUAAGAACUGUUUUCGAAAACAGUUUUAUAUUAUUCAUCUAAAAAAAGUUCGCAGAGGGGGCGUCCAAAAGGGAGUAAGAAUAAACCCAUAGCAUUGCCGAAUAAUUUUCUAGAGCCAAUUCCAAGUGAAGAUGGGGUGACAACGCGUUCGCAUAGAGCAUGGUUGAUCGGAAAGGAGUUGGGACUAAAACCACGCUGAUCAGAAGCUUUGAUGCUGAGAGGUUUAGAAGCUCAAAUCCGUGAAAAUCACCCUCACCUCAAUUGAUAUGUCGGGGCCUUGGCUCACAUGGAAUGUGCGUGGGCUAGGCGGAACUACGAAAAGAGAGGCUGUCAAAAAAGCACUUCAGCAAUUGAAACCAGAAUUGAUUCUAUUACAAGAAACAAAAUUGAAUGAGCAGAGGCAACGAACAGUUGAACAGUGGACGCAAAGUUUGCAGAUGAAUCAUGUCGAGGUUCAGUCAGCGGGAGCAGCAGGUGGCCUAAUGUGUCUGUGGAAGGAAAGCAGUUUUCAAGUUCAGUCAAUGGUGACAUACACUAAUUUUAUUUUUUUGUCUGUAAAAGUUCCAAAUUAUGAACACCCAGUUCUAGUGGGGAAUGUUUAUGGUCCCCAUUCUUUGCCGGAACGUAGAGUAUGUUUUGAGGCCUUGAAAGUGCAUGUGCUAAGUCAUACAGGUAUGAUGUUUCUUGGGGGCGAUUUUAACGCUGUUCUACUAGGAUCGGAGCGGUCUUCAGAAGGAGUUCUUGAUGUAGGCGAUGUGGUUUUUCAACAAUUUGCCACUGAUACUAACUUAUCAGACCUACCCCUGCUAAAUGGCAAGUACACGUGGUACUCAAGUCGCAACGAUGGCCUAUGGAGUCGAUUGGACAGAUGGCUCGUGUCUGACGAGGUGAUGUUAUCUUUUUCGAAUAUUUCACAAUCUGUUUUUGCAUGGAAUGUUUCUGAUCAUAGAGUUGUAGGUUUGGUGUUUGGUGAACCUGACUCUGGCCCUAAACCUUUCCACUAUUUUAAUCAUUGGGUGGAUGACGAUGGAUUUUAUGAGGUGGUCGAAAAUUGGUGGAGGUCCGCAAUUUACCAAGGUUGGUCGGGAUAUAUUUUGCAGCAAAAAUUAAAGGGUUUGAAGGGGAAAAUAAGAGAGUGGCGCAAGGGGAAAGGGGUGUGGGGGGUGGAAAAAAUUAUGUGCUUAGAGAAUAAAUUGCAGGAAGUGAUGGGGGCAAUGGAGGAGCAAGGGGGGGCGCAGUCUUUGUCUAAGGAGAGGAGGGAGAUUUUGGAAGCUCUAUGGAAAGCAUACCGCAAGGAGGAAAGAACUUGGCGUCAGAAAUCAAGGGUGCAGUGGUUGAAGGAGGGUGAUCGGAAUACAAAGUACUUUCAUCGCAUCUGUAAGGCAAGAAUAGUAAAAAAAAAAUAUUACCCAGUUAAGUUAUCAGGGAAGAGACUUAACUACCCCAGGGGAAAUCAAAGAGGCUAUGCAGGAUCAUUUUCAGAAUUUUUUCAGGAUGGCAGCUGUUACUAGGCCUUGUUUUCAUAAUCAGAACUUGAAAAAGGUGUCUGAAUCAGAAAAUCAAUUUUUAGAAGCUGAUUUUUCACUUGAUGAAAUAUGGGAGGCUAUUAAAAAUUGUGAUGGAAAUAGAGCUCCUGGACCUGAUGGAUUUAGCAUGGAUUUUUUUAAAAAACACUGGAAUCUAGUGAAGGAAGAUUUGAUGAACUUUUUUAAUGAUUUUCCCCAUACAGGGCAUCUUGUUAAGGGUUUGAACUCGACUUUCAUUGCGCUUAUUCCAAAAGGUGAUCUCCAGGAACAUAUUUCUGAUUACAGACCUAUCAAUUUGAUUGGCAGUGUGUACAAACUGUUAUCUAAGGUGUUAUCAGUACAUCUGAGUUCAAUCCUUCCUAGGCUGCUAAGUCAGAAUCAGUUUGCUUUCACAGCAGGACGUCAGAUUGCUGAUUGUUCUUUGAUUGCAAAUGAGAUUGUCCACUCUAUGAGUUCGAGGCCGCAAGGAGGUUUGUUAUUUAAAAUUGAUUUUGCAAAGGCUUAUGAUAGUGUUGAAUGGGGUUUUCUGUUGGAGCUCUUACAAGAGAUGGGGUUUGGGGAAAGAUGGAUUAGGUGGAUGUACUGCUGUAUUUCUUCAGCUACUUUGGCGGUUUUGGUAAAUGGUUCACCGUCUGAUUUCUUUUCAAUUGAAAAGGGCUUGAGGCAGGGUGAUCCUCUUUCUCCUCUUCUUUUUAACAUCGUUGCAAAUGGGAUGUCUUGCAUGUUAAACCAACUAUCAGUGAGGGAUAUCCCAUGUGGGGUGGAAAUAGCUCUAGGGCUUCGUCUCAAUCAUUUACAGUUUGCUGAUGAUUCAUUGCUUUUUACAGAUUGCGAUCAAAACCAGUAUGAGGAGAUGGCUUUGGUGGUAGAAACCUUUUUGUUUGUUUCAGGUUUAAAAAUAAAUUUCAGAAAAUCAGAAGUUUAUGGUGUGAAAGCGCCCCCCAACACUGGUACAAUCAGCAGCAAAUUGGUGGAAUUUCAAGGUUGGAUCAUUACCUUUUAUGUACCUUGGUUCACCUCUAGGAGGUAGUCCUAGGAGAUUGUCGUUUUGGAACCCAGUUCUGGAGAAAUUGGCGGCCAAGCUUUGCACUUGGAAUUCACGCUAUCUAUCACUAAGCGGCAGGUUAGUACUUGUUAAAUCUGUUUUGAAUGCCAUCCCCUUGUAUUACAUGGCACUUUAUAGAGCACCGAAGGGGAUUAUCUUGAGAAUAAAGAGGAUUCUGCGUCGUUUCCUGUGGGGAGGUGUUUCUGGCGAAAAUAAAAUUAUGUGGGUAGAAUGGGAGGAUUUGUGUAAGGGAUCUCGGUAUGGUGGUCUUCGGGUGGGGUUUUUAGAGUGGAAAAAUAAGGCAAUGUUAUUGAAAUGGAUAUGGCGUUUUGGGCGGGAAAAGAAUGCCUUUGUAAGAUCAAGUUUUGAUCUAGUAGUACAACUCUAUGUUUUGAUGAUUACAAGUUAACCUUUUGAUAUGAACAAUUGUGGUACUCUAACGUAUUUUUCUGAGUGUGCUAUUCACAGGCUCUGACCUCAACUCAAUCUCACACAAAUCAGAAGCACUGUGUAUAAAGAGCGACCCAAGCAACGCUUUCGCAUUCACCAUGUUCAGUAUGAACAGUGGAAAAGCUUCAGAAGUUCUGAAGUUAUACAAACUCUGAUGUGGACUCAGUCACUAGAAGUUCUGAAGAUCCAGAAAGUCUGAUAACCAAGAAACACUGAAGGCUCAGAUAUUCUGAUGGUGUAGAAGACUCUGAAGAUCCAGAAGCUGAUUAGUGAAAUUCUGAUGUCCAGAAGCAAGAUACUCUGAAGACCAUGUUCUUCCCUCUGAGUUCAGAAUCAGAAGAAACAAUGGUCAGAGGAUCUGGGCUUUCCCUCUGACUCUGAUCAACCGGCUUCACAAGUUCCAAUAUGAAGCAUUCCCCUGAUCAGAUGUCUCCUAGGUUUAAAGGUCAAGUCGCUAUCCAAGUACAAAAGCAACUGUACCUUCCUGACGACCUACCUAACAGUCUCAGACAUAGCAGAAGCUGGAUUUUCCAGAACUGCCCUCCAACGGUAGCAUUUUCCAUGCAACGCUCAACCCUAAUCCUUGGAGUAUAUAAAGAGGCUGAAGACUGAAAGAAGCGGCUAGAAGCAUUCACAUACGCGCAAGACAUAUUCAAAUUCUUCUAACCUUUCUUUCAUCUGAAAUUCAUUGAGUUUACUAUUAGCUUUUUAGAAGCAAAUCCCUUGUAAACAAUUCUUUGAUAAACAGUUUGUUUAGUUCCUUUAGGAGAUCAAGGUUGAUCGGAUCCUAGAGAAGACUAAGAGAGUGAAUCUUAGUGUGAGCUAAGUCAGUGUAAUUGUUAGUCACUUGUAGGUUUCAAGUGCAGUUGUAACUCUUACCUGAUUAGUGGAUUGCCUUCAUUCUAAGAAGGAAGAAAUCACCUUAACGGGUGGACUGGAGUAGCUUGAGUGAUUUAUCAAGUGAACCAGGAUAAAAUCCUUGUGUGCUUUUCUAUCUCUUAUCUUUAGCACUUAAGUUCUCGAAAGAUUUGUCAAAAUCUUUAAGGUGGAAGCUUUAUCUUGAAAACGUUAUUCAAACCCCCCCUUUCUACCGUUUUUCAUACCUUCAAUUGGUAUCAGAGCGCAAGUUCUGAUUACCACACCUAACAGUGUUCAGUGAUCCGGGCCGGUGUGAAAAACAAUGGCUGCCACCACCAGUGAAACUCAAAGAGAUGGUUACAAUGCAAAGCCUCCUAUGUUCGAAUAUUGGAAAGAUAGACUGGAAAGUUUCUUUCUGGGUUUCGAUGCAGAUCUCUGGGAUAUUAUUGUGGAUGGCUACGAGCGUCCAGUUGAUGCAGAUGGCAAGAAGAUCCCAAGGUCAGAGAUGACUGCAGAUCAAAAGAAGCUGUACUCACAACAUCACAAAGCAAGAGCAAUUCUUCUAAGUGCUAUUUCCUAUGAAGAGUACCAGAAGAUUACAGAUCGUGAGUUUGCGAAAGGCAUUUUCGAAUCUCUGAAGAUGUCUCAUGAAGGAAACAAGAAAGUCAAAGAAUCAAAGGCAUUGUCUUUGAUCCAAAAGUAUGAAUCCUUCAUCAUGGAGCCAAAUGAGUCCAUUGAAGAAAUGUUCUCCAGAUUUCAGUUGCUUGUAGCUGGCAUACGACCUCUCAACAAGAGCUACACAACAAAAGAUCAUGUCAUAAGGGUCAUCAGGUGUCUUCCUGAAAGUUGGAUGCCUUUAGUGACUUCAAUAGAGCUCACGAGAGAUGUUGAGAAUAUGAGUUUAGAAGAACUCAUCAGCAUUUUGAAAUGCCAUGAGCUGAAGCGCUCAGAGAUGCAAGAUCUGAGGAAAAAGUCCAUAGCCUUGAAAUCUAAAUCUGAAAAGGCUAAGGCUGAGAAGUCAAAAGCUCUUCAAGCUGAAGAAGAGGAAUCUGAAGAAGCAUCAGAAGAUUCUGAUGAAGAUGAGCUGACUCUGAUCUCCAAGAGACUCAAUCGCAUCUGGAAGCACAGGCAGAGCAAAUACAAAGGCUCUGGAAAGGCAAAAGGAAAGUCUGAAUCCUCAGGUCAGAAGAAGUCCUCACUUAAGGAAGUCACAUGCUUUGAGUGCAAAGAAUCAGGGCACUACAAAAGUGACUGUCCAAAGUUGAAGAAGGACAAGAAGCCAAAGAAGCACUUCAAGACAAAGAAGAGUCUGAUGGUGACAUUUGAUGAAUCAGAGUCAGAGGAUGUUGACUCUGAUGGUGAAGUCCAAGAACUCAUGGCUAUUGUCAAAGACAAAGAAGCAGAGUCAAAGGGAGUUGUUGACUCUGACUCAGAAUCAGAAGGAGAUCCUAACUCAGACGAUGAAAAUGAGGUAUUCGCUUCUUUCUCUACCUCUGAACUGAAACAUGCAUUGUCUGAUAUCAUGGAUAAGUAUAACUCCUUAUUGUCUAAGCAUAAGAAGCUGAAAAAGGACUUAUCUGCUGUUUCCAAGACUCCUUCUGAACAUGAGAAAAUUAUUUCUGAUUUGAAAAAUGAUAAUCAUGCUUUGAUCAAUUCUAACUCUGUGCUUAAGAACCAGAUUGCUAAGUUAGAAGAAAUUGUUGCUUGUGAUGCCUCUGAUUGUAGAAAUGAGUCUAAGUAUGAAAAGUCUUUUCAAAGAUUCCUAGCUAAAAGCGUGGAUAGAAGCUUAAUGGCUUCAAUGAUCUAUGGCGUAAGCAGAAAUGGAAUGCAUGGCAUUGACUAUUCUAAACCAAUUAGAAAUGAGCCCUCUGUGUCUAAAGCUAAAUCCUUGUAUGAAUGCUUUGUUCCCUCUGGUACCAUAUUGCCUGAUCCUUUACCUGCUAAAGUUGCUAAAAACCCUCUUAAAAAGGGAUCCUUCUCUAUGUCUAAAUAUCAUGCAAAUAUUCCUUUAAAAUAUCAUGUUGAGACACCCAAGGUGAUCAGAACCUCUGGGGUAACUAACAAGAAAGGACCCAGAAAGUGGGUACCUAAGGACAAGAUUAUCUAUGUUGCAGAUAUCCUUGAUAGCUCCACUGAAACACCAAUCAUGGUAUCUGGACAGUGGAUGCUCGCGUCACAUGACGAGAGAAAGACGUAUGUUCCAAGAGCUAAAACUUAAGCCUGGAGGCGAAGUUGGCUUUGGAGGAAAUGAAAAGGGUAAAAUUGUUGGUACUGGUACUAUUUGUGUAGAUAGUAGUCCAUGCAUUGAUAAUGUGUUAUUGGUAGACGGCUUAACACAUAACUGCCGGGCUGUAAGUCAGAUCGAUGGCUCUGUUCUGUUUAACAGCAAGAGGAAGAACAACAUUUAUAAGAUCAGAUAAUCUGAGUUGGAGGCUCAGAAUGUGAAGUGCCUUCUGUCUGUUAAUGAAGAGCAGUGGGUAUGACAUAGACGGUUAGGGCAUGCCAGUAUGAGAAAGAUUUCUCAGCUGAGCAAGCUAAACCUUGUCAGGGGCUUACCCAAUCUGAAGUUUGCUUCAGACGCUCUUUGUGAAGCAUGUCAGAAAGGCAAAUUCACAAAAGUCCCUUUCAAGGCAAAGAAUGUUGUCUCAACCUCAAGGCCGUUGGAACUUCUGCAUAUCGACCUUUUUGGACCAGUGAAAACUGAGUCUAUAGGUGGCAAGAGAUAUGGGAUGGUUAUCGUUGAUGACUAUAGCCGCUGGACAUGGGUAAAGUUUCUAACCCGCAAGGAUGAGUCUCAUGCUGUGUUCUCUACCUUCAUUGCCCAAGUGCAAAACGAGAAGGCUUGUAGGAUUGUGCGUGUCAGAAGUGACCAUGGUGGAGAGUUUGAGAAUGACAAGUUUGAGAGUCUGUUUGAUUCCUAUGGAAUUGCACAUGAUUUCUCUUGUCCCAGAACUCCUCAACAAAAUGGUGUUGUUGAGAGGAAGAACAGAACUCUUCAGGAGAUGGCUAGAACCAUGCUCCAAGAAACUGGCAUGGCUAAGCACUUUUGGGCAGAGGCAGUAAAUACAGCAUGUUACAUUCAGAACAGAAUCUCUGUGAGACCAAUUCUGAAUAAGACUCCCUAUGAAUUGUGGAAGAACAUAAAACCCAACAUUUCUUAUUUUCAUCCUUUUGGCUGUGUUUGUUAUGUUCUCAAUACUAAGGAUAGAUUGCAUAAAUUUGAUGCUAAAUCUUCUAAAUGUCUAUUACUUGGUUAUUCUGAGAGAUCUAAAGGUUUUAAAUUUUAUAAUACUGAUGCUAAGACUAUUGAAGAAUCUAUUCAUGUUAGAUUUGAUGAUAAGCUUGACUCUGACCAGUCAAAGCUAGUUGAGAAGUUUGCAGAUUUAAGCAUUAAUGUUUCUGACAAAGGCAAAGCUCCAGAGGAAGCUGAGCCAGAGGAAGAUGAACCAGAGGAAGAAGCUGGUCCCUCUAACUCACAAACUCUGAAGAAGAGCAGAAUCACUGCAGCUCACCCUAAGGAAUUGAUUCUGGGCAACAAAGACGAACCAGUCAGAACCAGAUCAGCCUUCAGACCCUCUGAAGAGACCUUGCUCAGUCUGAAAGGAUUGGUGUCCUUAAUUGAACCCAAGUCCAUAGAUGAAGCUCUUCAGGACAAGGAUUGGAUUCUGGCCAUGGAAGAAGAAUUGAAUCAAUUCUCCAAGAACGAUGUUUGGAGCUUAGUGAAGAAGCCUGAGAGUGUCCAUGUAAUUGGAACAAAAUGGGUAUUCAGAAACAAGCUGAAUGAGAAAGGAGAUGUAGUCAGAAACAAGGCAAGGCUAGUUGCUCAAGGCUACAACCAGCAGGAAGGAAUAGACUACACUGAAACAUUUGCUCCAGUAGCAAGACUGGAGGCAAUCAGACUGUUGAUCUCUUUCUCAGUGAAUCACAACAUAGUUCUACAUCAGAUGGACGUGAAGAGUGCCUUCCUAAAUGGUUAUAUUUCAGAGGAAGUCUAUGUUCAUCAACCCCCAGGUUUUGAAGAUGAGAAGAAGCCAGACCAUGUGUUCAAAUUGAAGAAGUCACUCUAUGGUCUGAAGCAAGCUCCCAGAGCAUGGUAUGAGAGACUCAGCUCAUUCCUUCUGGAGAAUGAGUUUGUAAGGGGUAAAGUAGAUACAACUCUUUUUUGCAAGACUUAUAAAGAUGAUAUCUUAAUAGUGCAAAUUUAUGUUGAUGAUAUUAUAUUUGGUUCUGCUAAUCAAUCUCUAUGCAAAGAAUUUUCUGAGAUGAUGAAGGCUGAAUUUGAGAUGAGUAUGAUGGGAGAAUUAAAGUACUUUCUGGGAAUACAAGUUGAUCAAACACCAGAAGGAACAUAUAUCCAUCAGAGCAAGUACACUAAAGAACUUCUGAAGAAGUUCAAUAUGCUGGAAUCUACAGUGGCCAAGACUCCAAUGCAUCCUACAUGCAUUCUGGAGAAAGAAGAUAAAAGUGGUAAAGUAUGUCAGAAGCUCUAUCGUGGCAUGAUAGGUUCACUUCUAUACUUAACUGCAUCUAGGCCAGACAUACUAUUUAGUGUUCAUUUAUGUGCUCGUUUCCAAUCAGAUCCAAGGGAAACCCACUUAACUGCUGUUAAGAGGAUCCUAAGGUAUCUGAAAGGCACCACUAACCUUGGCUUGAUGUAUAAGAAAACAUCAGAGUAUAAGCUUUCAGGUUAUUGUGAUGCUGAUUAUGCUGGAGAUAGAACAGAGAGAAAAAGUACUUCUGGAAAUUGUCAAUUUCUGGGAAGCAAUCUAGUCUCAUGGGCAAGCAAGAGGCAAUCAACCAUUGCACUAUCAACUGCAGAGGCAGAAUAUAUCUCAGCAGCAAUAUGCAGCACUCAGAUGCUCUGGAUGAAACAUCAGCUGGAGGAUUAUCAGAUCCUUGAGAGCAAUAUCCCAAUCUAUUGUGAUAACACUGCUGCAAUCUCAUUGAGUAAGAAUCCUAUCUUGCAUUCAAGGGCAAAGCACAUUGAGGUAAAGUAUCACUUUAUUAGAGAUUAUGUACAGAAGGGCGUACUUCUUCUGAAGUUUGUUGAUACUGACCAUCAAUGGGCAGAUAUCUUUACAAAGCCCUUAGCAGAGGAUAGAUUUAAUUUUAUUCUGAAAAAUCUGAACAUGGACUUUUGUCCAGAGUGAAGAUGGAUCAGAACCUCUGACUAUGAUACUUCUUGAUCAGAAGAUGUCUAGUCCAGAAGGUAACUCAAUCAGAGUGUGUGUACCCAUUGGUACGGACUCUGAAGCUGAGACAGCAACACGUGUGUCAGUAUUUCUGAUGCAUAGUUCCUUGUGCCCGUGUGACAGUCUGUCAUGUUGCGUGUAGAUGUGCUUCUCUCCUGUGUGUGAUAUGUGUAUUUACUAUUACUAUCUAUCUUUAAUUUUCAACCGUUGAUUUUAAAUUGCUUUUUGAAUCAACAACGGUUAUUUGUCAAAACCCACUAUACACACACGAUCUCCUUCACUUUCGGUUUUUACUCUCUCUCUCUUCUGCUAUUUCAAAACCGCUUACCCUCGAUUUCUCUCUCGAUCUCUCUUCAUCUUUCAACCUUCAUCUUCUACCUAAACCUUCAACCGCUCCAAAAAUGGUGAGUCAAACCAGAAGAGCUACUGCAGAUGCAACCCAGUUCCCUCAUAUGGUAGUUGGUCUAGCAACAGGUCAAAGGGGUCCUGAGAAUCCGAAUCAAGAUCAAGGUCAAGCUCAAGAGCAGAUUAUUCCGAUUGCAGAACGGGGCUGUGCCGUUCACUGCGUAUAUGCUCCUGAGGAACUUCAAGUACUGGCAGAAUGGAGAUUCGACCUCGACAACCUUGCUACAAAUGGGUAUGAUCUUCGUCCUGAAGUCCAAGCUCAAGGUUGGGGAAAUUACUUCAACAGGCUUCGAGGACCGGUGUAUGACAAACUGAUCAAGGAAUUCUGGAAGCACGCCGACUGCGAUGAUACUCAGGUGGUAUCUCACAUUCUUGGAAGGAAGAUCAUCAUUACAGAGAAGUCUUUCGUGAAUCUGCUGUGUGCAGAAACUGCUCUUGGGUAUCGUUUCCAAUUCACUGAAUCGAAGCUGAAACCCAAGACGAAGGAUGAGACCAACAAGGCCCUGUACACCAAUUACAAACCGGGCAAGACUAAUUACAAAGUGAUGGACCUUCAUCCCAAGCUCAGGAUCUGGCACAAGAUUUUGCUCAACUGCAUACACCAGAGACCAAAGGGCAGUUCCCCAGACUACAUCAACUUCAACCAGAAGGCGAUGUUGUUCUUCAUCCAAGACAAGAAGAAGAUCUGCCUUCCCUACUUCCUGUUCUCCUACUUGAAGGAGUGUAUCC
rnacentral:lncRNA from 1 species